GCAAUUUCUUCAUUUCCAACGGGAACCCUCGAUAGCAACUCCCCCGUCUAAUCCCCGCGCCAGCCAUGCAUCUUCCGCGCCCGCAAUCCUGGCGCCCUCUGCAGACACCAUUCCUUACCAGCCUCCGAGUGUUGCGCAGGUUGUUCAAGACUCGAAUGUUACAGCACUCUUGGCCUAUCUUUCUACUUUUUAUCUCUCAUAAUUCAAAACAUGAGCCUACACUGAAGCCUCGCUCGAAGACUUGUCGAUUAUUCUGCGUAUCCUCCUUUGAAAAUGAAUAAUCAGUGUAAAUUAUAGACAUGGAACAUGAUUUGAAGCUACAUAUAUACUAAAUUGACACUUCUUUACUGCCGUGAUAGCGAAGAGAGCCGUAAGUGCAAAAAUGAAGUUUUGAGUAAACGGGCUCAGAAGCUUCUGACCGGAAAAUUUUAUUGAAAGAAGCCUCCGUUCUUUGUCAAAUUGCCACUAAUCGUCUGAAAGACUCCUAGAAAUCGUUUGGAUGAUUGAAAAUCGACUGAUUUUAUUUAUAUUACAUAAAAAGGCUAUUUUUCAUUUCCAUGCCAGGUUAUUGUUAGACAAGACAGCCGUAAGUGCUAUCUUCUGCAUGCUUUCGUGGUUUCGUUUUGGACACAAAACAAACACAUUUUCAGGUUAGAAAUCGGCAGAUGAGGAUGGCAUUCCUCUUGAAAGCACUGUUUUCAUCGGCUCUCAUGCACCUACGGCUGUCUUGAAAAAAACUAUGUCAUUUUUUGUGCACUUACGGCUUUUUCAUACGUCUCGUUUUCGUUAAAUUAGGAUGAAUUUUGCUGUUUUAGCUGUCUCUGUAAUUCAUCUAAAAGAGUUUAGACGAAUUUAGAAGAAAACUCGAUUUCGAAAAUUUUGCACUUACGGCUCUCUUCGCUAUCACGGCAGUUUAUAUGCCCGCUCGACGGCGUGAACCUCGCAUUAAUUUUUAAAGAUGACAUUGUACUUGUAACAAAAAUCAUGCAACGUCAGUUUCCAAUUUUCUGAUGUGGGUGUCAUGAGUAUUCAUGGUUGCCCUACCCAAUAUUUAUUCAAACUCAAAUUUGUAUUUAGGUCACUCGGAUUUCCUCUCACGUUUAAAAGCUUUUUGAAAUUACUUUUUCAAGGAAUCUCAGGCAAGGUUAUUCAACUUUGUCAGCAGGAUUAUUUACAUUAUUUUACAAUCUUUAUUUGAUUGUGUAUUGCAUGCAAGUUGAGAUUGAUCUUUCGAACAUUUCAGAUCUUACAGCUGCUACACGCACACUAUUCCAGAGGUUAUUUUAGAGCAAUGGUUCAUCUUCCUUCACAAAGAUUAUUUCUCCUACAUUCGGUUCAUUUCUGAGUACAAAUUAAAUAAAAUGAUAAGUUUAUAAAUCUUUCCAACUCAAAGGAAAUUGAUAAAGUUUUGGAUCAUUCAUACGAUGUAGUUUGUAAUGGGUCACUAAACCUUGUUUAUUUUAUUGAAUAUUCUAAAAGUUUUGUGUGAGUAGAUAACGUGUUGAUUUUUCCGCAUUUUUAUGGAGCCGAAAUUGCGGAGAAAACCGCUUCGAAAAAAUCUAAAUACUGCAAGACAUUUCAACAGCACCCAAAUGGCGGGAAACUGACGGUGUUGAUGCACUGCGGUAGUCAUAUCGCAAUCUUCUCUCAUUUUCCUCUGAUGUUUGUUAAAAUAAAACGUAUGUCAAUGUGGAAUUGUUGCCUGUUUAUUACAGCUAACAUAUAAAUGAGAUUCGAGUCUUGAAUUCAAAAGAUAUAAUUUCGACUUUAGUAUUGGUCUCAUAUAAGAAGAGUAGAUAGACAUUUGACGGACGUCGUGGAGACCCGUGCCCGCUUCUGAUUGGUGCCGGAUGACAUCAUUCGGUGCGGCGCGAAACCGGGGCGUUUUAAAUUUGCGUAUAAGUUGAGCGAUUUGAACUGCGCAUUUCUCGGUUAUUGAGUUACUUGUUCGCGUUUUUAAUGUGCGGAUCGUUUUCCACGCGUCAUUUUCCUUCAGAAAACUAUAUUCGCAAGUCAAAAUUCGUUCAUGGUUUAGUGACCCAUUAUCAGUAAAAAUUAUUUGCAGUAAAUAUUUUAAAUGCGAAUGUCAUUGUUUACUCCAAUUAAGAUUUGAGCUUAAAAUUGUUUAGAAAAAUGAAACUUCGUGAAAAACCUAGGUAAAUCAAAGCUCCUGAGCUGACUCCUUCUUCCAGUGAAAGUUACCAAAUGUUAAUUAUCUAAGCUACAGCGUGGAACAAAUUAAUGUUAAUUUCUUCAUAUCCCUCCAAAACUUUUGGAAAACCUUAGAUUUUGUACUUGUAAAUUUGUAAUUUAAAUGUAUCUAUCUUUUUGGAUUAGUUUCACCAUUCUAUUACUUGAUCAAUUUUUCAGCUGGAUUUUAUUUGACGUUUGAGCGUCGCGUAUUUUAUAUGUAAAUAUUAUGCAUAAAAUAUGUUAUCGCUGAAUAAAUUCAAUUACAUGAUU
rnacentral:lncRNA from 1 species